rnacentral:rRNA from 1 species
AGAGUUGAUCAUGGCUCAGGAUGAACGCUAGCUACAGGCUUAACACAUGCAAGUCGAGGGCAGCAUGUGGUUGCUUGCAACCAAUGAUGGCGACCGGCGCACGGGUGAGUAACGCGUAUCCAACCUUCCCUAUAGUAGAGGAUAGCCCGGCGAAAGUCGGAUUAAUACUCUAUGUUUUCCAAUGCAGACAUCUAAGUUGGAACAAAGGUUCACCGCUAUAGGAUGGGGAUGCGUCUGAUUAGAUAGUCGGCGGGGUAACGGCCCACCGAGUCGACGAUCAGUAGGGGUUCUGAGAGGAAGGUCCCCCACAUUGGAACUGAGACACGGUCCAAACUCCUACGGGAGGCAGCAGUGAGGGAAUAUUGGUCAAUGGGCGAGAGCCUGAACCAGCCAAGUAGCCGUGCAGGAUGACGGCCCUAUGGGUUGUAAACUGCUUUUAUACAGGGAUAAAGUGACGUACGUGUACGUUAUUGUAGGUACUGUAUGAAUAAGGACCGGCUAAUUCCGUGCCAGCCGCGGC